rnacentral:rRNA from 1 species
GUCGAAUGACUUGGAAAAGUCAGUCAAAGAGGGUAAAAACCCCGUAGACGAAAUGUGGAAGACACCUAGGAGGAUCCUGAGUACGGCGGAACACGAGAAAUUCCGUCGGAAUCCGGGAGGACCAUCUCCCAAGGCUAAAUACUCCCUAGUGACCGAUAGUGAACCAGUACCGUGAGGGAAAGGUGAAAAGCACCCCGGAAGGGGAGUGAAAUAGAACCUGAAACCGUGUGCCUACAACAAGUCAAAGCCCGUUAAUGGGUGAUGGCGUGCCUUUUGUAGAAUGAACCGGCGAGUUACGAUUGCAUGCGAGGUUAAGUUGAAGAGACGGAGCCGCAGCGAAAGCGAGUCUGAAUAGGGCGUUUGAGUAUGUAGUCGUAGACCCGAAACCAUGUGAUCUACCCAUGUCCAGGUUGAAGGUGCGGUAAAACGCACUGGAGGACCGAACCCACGUACGUUGAAAAGUGCGGGGAUGAGGUGUGGGUAGCGGAGAAAUUCCAAACGAACUUGGAGAUAGCUGGUUCUCUCCGAAAUAGCUUUAGGGCUAGCCUCGGAAUUGAGAAUGAUGGAGGUAGAGCACUGUUUGGACUAGGGGCCCAUCUCGGGUUACCGAAUUCAGAUAAACUCCGAAUGCCAUUCAUUCAUAUCCGGGAGUCAGACUGUGAGUGAUAAGAUCCAUAGUCGAAAGGGAAACAGCCCAGACCACCAGCUAAGGUCCCAAAAUAUAUGUUAAGUGGAAAAGGAUGUGGGGUUGCACAGACAACUAGGAUGUUGGCUUAGAAGCAGCCACCAUUUAAAGAGUGCGUAAUAGCUCACUAGUCGAGUGACCCUGCGCCGAAAAUGUACCGGGGCUAAACAUAUUACCGAAGCUGUGGAGUACACCUUUAGGUGUAU